UCGAGGAUCUUCGGCAAUGGGCGAAGGCCUGACCGAGCGACGCCGCGUGAGCGAUGAAGGCCAUUAGGUUGUAAAGCUCUGUCGAGGGGGAGCAAGCCGCAAGGUUGAGCGAUCCCUGGAGGAAGCACGGGCUAAGUUCGUGCCAGCAGCCGCGGUAAGACGAACCGUGCGAACGUUGUUCGGAAUCAUUGGGCUUAAAGGGUGCGUAGGCGGGUGUUCAAGUCGGGGGUGAAAGCCUCCAGCUCAACUGGAGAAGCGCCUCGGAUACUGUUCAUCUCGAGAGAGGUAGGGGCACAUGGAACUUCCGGUGGAGCGGUGAAAUGCGUAGAGAUCGGAAGGAACGCCGGUGGCGAAAGCGAUGUGCUGGAUCUUUUCUGACGCUGAGGCAUGAAAGCCAGGGGAGCAAACGGG
rnacentral:rRNA from 1 species